rnacentral:rRNA from 1 species
GACGAACGCUGGCGGCGUGCUUAACACAUGCAAGUCGAACGGUAAGGCCCUUCGGGGUACACGAGUGGCGAACGGGUGAGUAACACGUGGGUGAUCUGCCCUGCACUUCGGGAUAAGCCUGGGAAACUGGGUCUAAUACCGGAUAGGACUCCUGCCUGCAUGGGUGGGGGUGGAAAGCUUUUGCGGUGUGGGAUGGGCCCGCGGCCUAUCAGCUUGUUGGUGGGGUGAUGGCCUACCAAGGCGACGACGGGUAGCCGGCCUGAGAGGGUGACCGGCCACACUGGGACUGAGAUACGGCCCAGACUCCUACGGGAGGCAGCAGUGGGGAAUAUUGCACAAUGGGCGCAAGCCUGAUGCAGCGACGCCGCGUGAGGGAUGACGGCCUUCGGGUUGUAAACCUCUUUCAGCAUCGACGAAGCGAAAGUGACGGUAGGUGCAGAAGAAGGACCGGCCAACUACGUGCCAGCCGCCGCGGUAA